CAGCUAGUUGGCAGGGUAAGAGCCUACCAAGGCAGAGAUCGGUAGCCGGCCUGAGAGGGCACACGGCCACACUGGCACUGAAACACGGGCCAGACUCCUACGGGAGGCAGCAGUGGGGAAUCUUGCACAAUGGGGGCAACCCUGAUGCAGCGACGCCGCGUGAGCGAUGAAGCCCUUCGGGGUGUAAAGCUCUUUCGGCAGGGAAGAUGAUGACGGUACCUGCAGAAGCAGCUGCGGCUAACUACGUGCCAGCAGCCGCGGUAAUACGUAGGCAGCGAGCGUUGUUCGGAGUUACUGGGCGUAAAGGGUGUGUAGGCGGUUCUUUAAGUUUGGUGUGAAAUCUCCCAGCCUAUCCGG
rnacentral:rRNA from 1 species